rnacentral:rRNA from 1 species
GAUGAACGCUGGCGGCAUGCCUAACACAUGCAAGUCGAGCGAACAGACCAGGAGCUUUCUCCUUUGACGUUAGCGGCGGACGGGUGCGUAACACGUAGUUAACCUACCUCUAAGACUGGGAUACCUUCGGGAAACCGUAGCUAAUACCGGAUAAUAUUUCGAACCGCAUGGUUCGAUAGUGAAAUAUGCCUUUGCUUUCACUUAUAGAUGGACCUGCUCCGUAUUAGCUAGUUGGUAAGGUAACGGGUUACCAAGGCUACGAUACGUAGCCGACCUGAGAGGGUGAUCGGCCACACUGGAACUGAGACACAGUCGAGACUCCUACGGGAGGCAGCAGUAGGGAAUCUUACGCGAUGGGGGAAAGCGUGACGGGGCAACGCCGCGUGAGUGAUGAAGGUCUUCGGAUCGGAAAACUCUGUUAUUAGGAAAGAACAAACGUGUAAGUAACUGUGCACGUCUUGACGGUACCUAAUCAGAAAGCCACGGCUAACUACGUG